rnacentral:rRNA from 1 species
AAUAGAUACCCAGGUAGUCCAUGCCGUAAACGUUGGGAACUAGAUGUAGGGCCUGUUCCACGGGUUCUGUGUCGUAGCUAACGCAUUAAGUUCCCCGCCUGAGGAGUACGGCCGCAAGGCUAAAACUCAAAGGAAUUGACGGGGGCCCGGCACAAGCGGCGGAGCAUGCGGAUUAAUUCGAUGCAACGCGAAGAACCUUACCAAGGCUUGACAUAUAGAAGAACACUGCAGAGAUGCAGGACUCUUUGGACACUUCUAUACAGGUGGUGCAUGGUUGUCGUCAGCUCGUGUCGUGAGAUGUUCGGUUAAGUCCGGCAACGAGCGCAACCCUCGUCCUAUGUUGCCAGCGGUUCGGCCGGGAACUCAUGGGAUACUGCCGUGGUCAACACGGAGGAAGGUGGGGAUGACGUCAAAUCAUCAUGCCCCUUAUGUCUUGGGCUUCACGCAUGCUACAAUGGCCGGUACAAAGAGCUGCGAUACCGCGAGGUGGAGCGAAUCUCAAAAAGCCGGUCUCAGUUCGGAGUU